GCCUUGGUGGCACAAUGGUUAAGUGCUCGGCUGCUAACUGAAAGGGUUGGUGGUUCAAACCCACCCAGCUGCU
rnacentral:tRNA from 1 species